rnacentral:rRNA from 1 species
GAUGAACGCUGGCGGCGUGCCUAAUACAUGCAAGUCGAGCGAACAGACGAGGAGCUUGCUCCUCUGACGUUAGCGGCGGACGGGUGAGUAACACGUGGAUAACCUACCUAUAAGACUGGGAUAACUUCGGGAAACCGGAGCUAAUACCGGAUAAUAUAUUGAACCGCAUGGUUCAAUAGUGAAAGACGGUUUUGCUGUCACUUAUAGAUGGAUCCGCGCCGCAUUAGCUAGUUGGUAAGGUAACGGCUUACCAAGGCAACGAUGCGUAGCCGACCUGAGAGGGUGAUCGGCCACACUGGAACUGCGCCACGGUCCAGACUCCUACGGGAGGCACCAGUAGGGAAUCUUCCGCAAUGGGCGAAAGCCUGACGGAGCAACGCCGCGUGAGUGAUGAAGGUCUUCGGAUCUUAAAACUCUGUUAUUAGGGAAGAACAAAUGUGUAAGUAACUAUGCACGUCUUGACGGUACCUAAUCAGAAAGCCACGGCUAACUACGUG